AUAAUGAUACAUCCGCAUGGUGCGGUUCUGCCCACAGGAAUGGGAAUGGCUGAAAUGCCAGUGG
rfam:Lachnoclostridium sp. An118 An118_contig_3, whole genome shotgun sequence.